rnacentral:misc_RNA from 1 species
GUGCACUCCCUACCACCACCAUCACCACUACCACCACCCAACACAGACGCAUGUGCAGGUACCCACGUCGGCACGUCGGUGCAUCGUCCCUUUAUCCUCCCUUCUCUCACAUUCCACAUCGCUUACCAUCGAGAGCGACAACACUUUCCUUCUGCGAGCAGCCCAGCCAUACACACCUCGACCAGACGCGGUGCCCGUAGUGUGGUAGACACUAAAUACAGAAGGAAGGCGUGCGAGAGUGUGUGUUUGUGACCGCGCUCUGGUGCGCAGGCCUUCUGCUCAGCUCUCUAAUCUAUCAUUGUUGCACCUGCACACGCAACUCGCCAACUCUUUUCGUCAUUACGACGACGUCGUACCCCUCCUCGCCCUUGCCCUCCCCUCUUACCCCCCCCCACUCCCAACACCGUCUCUCCGCCACCUCGCGGUCUCUCGUCAGCCGCCGCCCAGUCCCCGCGAACACGGCGGUUUUACACGCACACACCUUCUUGGGGGGAAGGAGGGGGCCUCUGCUCUCUAUUCGUCGCCUUUUCAGCCGGUGGCCGGUGUGUGCGCGUGUGUGUCUCUUCCUGCCUGGGAAGGGAGGGGAGAGAGAAUGCGCAGAGGGUCACGGCAUGCAGCUGCCGCGUUACCGUGCUCGCAGUCCGCAAGCAAUUCCGUGGUCAGCUCGCCUAACUCAGCGACCGUGACGACCUCAGGGGAUGUGUUUGGAGGCAACUCACCGGCAGCUGCGUCCCCCUCAGCUGGGCGCCGACAGCAACGGCUAUCGCGCGGUAGUCUUAGUAAGGCUUGUCCUUCACCGCCGCCCUCUGUGUCCACAUCACAGCAACAGCAGCAGCGGUCGCAAAGGCAAAUGAAGAAGGGCCCCCGUCAUCACCGCGGGGGCGGCGGUCGGAGAGAAGCGCAGCGAAGACGACUUCCCGGCUCAAGUGCGUCCGACGCAGCGAUGUCGAAGCCAAAGGUGCCACCUUCGUCUUCUCUUCCUGGGCGUCGCAGCAGCAGCGGCGGAAGCAGCGGCGGCUAUGGUGACGUUGCCGCAGGGAUGUGCACAGUAGAGGAUGUAGUAAAGAGCGCAGUCGACCCACAAGCGCAGUUCACCAUGUCAUCCAAUACAAGUCGCACCACCACCAUCACCGCCGACGACGACGGCAACGAAGCGGACUCUUCGUGCUCGCCUCUGCCGCACCAGCAGCAGCAGCAACGGCCACCUGAUCAGAGUAGACGCACGAAGGGCAACCGCGACUCCAAGCCGCGCGCAGUACGAGGCCGGGCGAACACGCAACUGUGGGAGAACGUACAGAAGCAGCGCAGGCAUCUGCAGUCACGACAGGAUCGUCGCCGCAUAGCUGCGAAAAGUAGCGAGGCCUCUGUCGAGGCCGGUGCUGCCGCGCACAACGUAGCCAACGAAGAGGACGAAGUAGCUGGCAACGUGCAAGGAUCCGCUGCAGCACCGGAGGAGGAAGAGGUGACGGUCUCGUGUAAACCGCGCAACGGCAGCCGCUUUUCUUCUCCACCAGCGACAACGGCCGCGGCAGCGGCCGAAGAGACCCUGGAAAACGAGGAGCUUGUGCCUGCUGCUGGCACUCGACGAGUACCAGGCCAAUCCGCAAAGAACGCGAUGGCGACGCCAUCACGGCGGCCUGCAGUCACGGAGGGCGGCGGCCGCUCUCGACACCGUCGCCGCCUCAGCCCAGCGCACCCUGUAGCGUCGUCGCCAGCGGUGUCUCGAGGUAGCUCCAUCAACGAUGCGGUCGGCGACGCCGCUGUUGAUGAAGAAACGCAGCCCCUGCCAAGGUUGUCGCACGCAGGGCAUGACGACAAGGCGGCCGUGCCAGCAGACGGGCCGCGUCGACCGCUGCGCGCGGGGAACAAGCUCUCCCGUAGGCAAAAGCAGAUGUCGACCGCCGUGCCGCAGCCGCAAUCGGGACCCGGUGUCGCUACUGGAAUGGCCCCGGUCACCGCCGUCGCCGCCUUCAGCACACGCCCGCCCCUGCCGCCCUUCGUGCCGCAGGACCCCAUCAUCGUGGCUCAACAGGUGCGUCACGCUGCACACGCGGUCGUCGCCGAGUCCGCACUUCCCGACCCAGCACCGACAGUGAUGCGGCUCGCCGCAUUCUCCUCGGCGAAGGGAUCGAUCACGGAUCCGUGUGUGGUCGCAGCGGUGCUUCCCACGUCGGCAGGUGCUGCAGCCCAUGCUGUCGGCCCUGCAGUGCCGCACGGUGGCCGGGUGAAGGACACGGCGGCCCCAUCUACAGCUGGUCCUCCAACAGUGGUGUCGUCACGCUCGAUGCCGCAGCAGCAGCAGCAGCAGCAGUCUGAGGAAGAUAAGCAGCUCAGCCGUCGCGGUUUGCGCUUGGGUGCUGCCCCGUUCUACCCUGCGGCCACCGCCAGCCUCAUCCUCGCCAUGACCCCCGAAGCAGGCACCAACGGCGGUGACGCAUCACUUCCAUCGCUCGCAGCCGCCGUACCCAGCCCACAGUCACUGCUGGGGAGCUACAGCAUGUCGCCGGCACGGUCGCCGCCGCUAGUGCGCCCGACUUCCUCGCCGCUGGGGGACAGCGUGCAGAACCACAGUCGAAGCAGUACCGGGGGCCUCAUGAGCGGACAGAGCACCUUUGCGGCAGAGUUGGCGGCGGCAACAGGUACGCCAUGGACGCUCACUGUUAUCGCCCCGUCUCACUCGUCGCCGCCAUCAUCGAUAGGGCGGGAUGACACGGACGGCGACGGCCCCAGCAGCGGCACACCUUCUGUGCCGGUCAAAUCGCCGGCGCACGGAGCUGCAGCCGCGGCGAGUUACAGCAGCAACACAGAGAUGCCAAACGGCAUGGGGGAUCGGCCUUCCAUGCGGCGCAGUGCGCUGAUGGUGACAAACACAGCCACCGGUGCGCGUGUGUCGCCGGCGACCGUGACCACGCCGUCCGGCUCGCCGACCGCACUAUGGAGCGGCAGCGGCGGUAACGGACCGCAGAUGCGAACGAGUGGGCACACCAGUGGCGCCAGCUCUAGCACCGCCGCUGCCGCCACCACUUCCCCCGGUGGCGCUGGUCAUCACUCCGCCACUCAUUCGGGCAGCACACCCCAGGGCGUCGUUGUACGGGAGUUCCCUCAGGCUCCGUACCCGGUCGUGAGCCGAACUACAGAGCCUCACCAAUCACAGCAGCAGCACUCCAUGCGCAGCCCACGGUUGAUGAGUGAGAGCGACCUGGACUGCGUCCAGCACAAUCGUGUGGCAGUGUCCGACGUCGUCGCCAAGGACGAGGGCAGCCUCGUCGACACCCUCUUUGCCGACGUCAACAUGAUCGAAGACGACGAGAGUGAGGUAGACGGCGAUGAUCUGCUGAGCAGCCGUGAUGGGGGUGAACGUUGGACGAUGCAGCCUGCGCCGUCGCCCGUAGCUUCCGGUGAUGGCUCGCCACUUGUUGCCUCGUCGCCUGAUGUCCGCACGCCGCAUUCGAUGAACCAGCAGUUGCAGCACCGCUCUGGGUCCUUUUCGGCCGGCGUACGGAUGCUCGGCAAGGAGGCCGGCGGGCAGGUCUUUGGUGGUGGGUACUGGUAUCCCUCGGGUCCUUGGGCCAGCACGGACGCGACUGGUCGAGGUAGCGGCAGCGGCGGUACUGGCACAGGGUCGCACCGCGGUGGCGGCGGCGAUGUCAAGACCACUCUUGCCGCCGCCGUUACCGCAAGCAUCGGCAGUGGCAGCGGUGCGGCGGCGUGGCGUGGGUUGUCCACCCCACCACACCGCCAUCGGGCCUUCUCUGCGAGCUGCGCGAGUGUUGCGUCCACCAUGUCGCUCAUCGACCCGAAGCAGCCGCAGGCAGACGGCGCCGCGUACGACAUGAUGGGCGAGGAUGAUGAGUGGGAAAUGAACAGCAGCGCCUACGCCGACAGCCUCGACGAGGCGCAGAUCCAGUGGAUCGAGGAGCAGCUCAGGGCGACGGAGAACCCGGCAGGGUACUUCUAGCGGACUCCCUGCCCCCUUCUCCUCCACCUCAACUCAGUGCGCCGAGUGUUGUGCCGUGUGUGCUGCUUCUGUGCAUGGGUGUAUUAUCUGCACUUGCGAUUUUCUUUGAUGUUGUGUUUCAUUUUGCUCAAGUGCAUCUGCUGCACGCAUGCAUCUGUGUGUGUGUGUGGGUGUGUGGGUGGGCGGGUGGGUGGGCGACUGAACUUCUUUCGUAUACGUUUGAGUCUCUUUGCUUGUACGUGUCUGUCUCCGAGUGUGUGUGUGUGGAGGGGGGGGGUGUUGUUGCGUUCCCUCUUUCUUCACUGCUUCGCCUGCUCUCGCUCGCCCGCUCGCCUCAUUCCCAUCACCCGCCAUCAUCGCUCACGCGCACACACACGCCCUCACCCCCCUCCCUCCCUUCCCUGUACGCCGCAUUCGCGUGUCGUUCGCCUAUGCACCUUACGUUAUGCCGCCAUG